rnacentral:rRNA from 1 species
UGCAAGUCGAGCGAUCUUUUCAGUUUGAAGUUUGAGGCUUCGGCCAAAGACUGAUAACUGGUCAAAAAGAGAGCGGCGAACGGGUGAGUAACGCGUGGAUAAUCUGCCCUAGAGACUGGGAUAACCUCGUGAAAAUGGGGCUAAUACCAGAUAAGCUCACGUCCUUUAUGGGAAGUGAGAAAAUAUUUGCUUUGCAUUUGCUCUUGGAUGAGUCCGCGUCCUAUUAGCUUGAUGGUGAGGUAAUGGCUCACCAUGGCUUCGAUUGGUAGCCGGCCUGAGAGGGCGGACGGUCACACUGGGACUGAGACACGGCCCAGACUCCUACGGGAGGCAGCAGUGGGGAAUUUUUGUCAAUGGGGGAAACCCUGAACAAGCAACGCCGCGUGAAGGACGAAGACCUUCGGGUUGUAAACUUCUGUCGGACGGGACGAAAGCGAUUAGGGCCAAUACCCCUAGUCGUUGACGGUACCGUAAGAGGAAGCCCCGGCUAACUCCGUGCCAGCAGCCGCGGUAAUACGGGGGGGGCAAGCGUUGUUCGGAAUUACUGGGCGUAAAGGGCGCGCAGGCGGACGGGCAAGUCUUUCGUGAAAUCCCAUGGCUCAACCAUGGAAUUGCGGGAGAAACUGCUCGCCUUGAGUUCGGGAGAGGAGAGUGGAAUUCCCAGUGUAGCGGUGAAAUGCGUA